AAUAAAGAUAGUGAACAGAUAGUAGUACUACAACAAUAUAAUACGAUAGUCGGGAUGUUUUGAACGAGUGUUGAGCGAGUGAAGUGCCCCAUAAAGAAGGGCGAGCUAUAUGUAUGAAUUCCGUGAGCAGCGAUUUCACUUCAGGUUCAGGUGCAUCCAGCAGGAAUUGAACCUACGAAUUCGCCAUAUCGAACUCGAUAAACCCGACUCCUGAGAUAGAGAAAUGCAAUAAGUAUAAGAAACAAGAGAUAGCAACAGAAAUCGAAGGACAAGAAACUACACUAGUAAUAUUACGACUGCUAGUAUAGGCAGACUAACCUUCUUCCUUAAUCCGUAUCCUCCACAACCUCCUACCUAAGGUCAUGUCCUCGUUAAGCUGAAACUGCCUUUAGUGUGAAUCUUUGUACAAAAAAAAUUUCCACCAGACUAACAGUGGGACAGAAGUAAUUACUCUUCUAAUUUAUCAGAGAUUGGCAUUUGACAUGAACAAGAACAUAGAUCACCUUCUUAGGGAACACAUUAAAAAAUAAGCUAAUAACUAAAUUAAAAAGCAGAAAAAGAUGCAUGAAUCUGCACUUAGAAAUGGAAAAGAAGAGAUCAUAUACUACAAACUUGAUUUUUGCUCAUAGUAAUUGCUAGUGUCAGGAAAAAAAGGAAAUGGCUGCUCCCCUGCAACACCAACAUAUAACGAAGGCAUACUAGGUAGGUAAUUGAACAACAAUAUCUCGGAAGCUAAACUGCAUAUUCGAGUAGAUUAUCCAGUUCUCCAUAUUUCAAGACAACGGUGAACCUCAACCACGUAAAUACAUCUAUGACUAACCUGCUGGCCCAGAAAGACAUUACAAGAAUCAUGUAUAGGAAUACACACUUGGGGCAGCAGAAGUUAUAGUAGUUUCAUGUAGUAAAGGCAAUGAAUUCGUAAUUUGUUAUGCUUACCACAUGGCAUGGGAAAUGAUAGACCGUCAGAUACAAUGCUUAUUCCCCGAGUCGAAUCCUUUUGUUGUUUGUAAGGUCUUUUACAAAGCGGUAAGCUGUCAAUGAAUGAAUACAUUAAGAACGCAUAGAUGUGAUAGAUUUCUCACUAAAGCAUACCAGCACUCCUCCAUGAUCAUUAGAUGUCGCAUGAUGUAUCCGUCCAAACAAUAAUCACAGGCACCCAUCAACAGAUGCACAAACUAAUCUUUGAUGAUCAACAAUCGAGUCAGGUAAAAGAACGAACCAUUAUAGUAACCAGUGUUCGCCCAACAAAUUGGGAUAUUCAUGUGCUCUGAUUGAUUAGCCGCAUAGGCAUGAUAUCAGGUUCAAGAUUGAUGAACAUGAAAGUAAGGGUUGAGAUAUAAAAAGGUGUGACCCCACACAGCUGCAUUCAGCAUUAAGGACGGGGUAAAAUGUGGAGCAUGCACAACAGCACAAGAAUUUAGAAUUGAACUCAAGGCCAAGAUUCUUAAAACUACUCUAAUCAUUUCUGUAGCACGGGUUUUGCUCCGAUCCAACAAAAAUACAUCAUUCUUAAAAGUAACAGAAAAGAAGAUAGAUUGUAAUGGAUGUAUGUUUCGUUAUUUUGUUUGGAAAGAUUGCUUAGAUCUAGUUUAUAGCAAUAAACAAAAGAGAAGAUGGAAAUACUAAUAUAUUGGAUUAUUAUCAAGUAACCACAAGACAUAAGUUGUUUUACUUUAAUACUUCGAAACCUUUAGAUGUUUUAAAUUACAAAGGAAAGAAAGAAACCACUUGCAUCUGAAAACAUGUCAGAUUUUUAAACAAGAGGACUGCUGUACCAUAUUGUAAAUUAUCAAAAGUAGGACGUAUAUCCACGAUAUACAUAAUCAGUACCAAUUUGGCCGCAUCACCCAACAUGACAUUACAGAAAAAACAAUUAGAAGUGUUUGAACAAUAUAGUCGAUACUAUUCUAGAAAUGGAAACUAAACCUCUAGAAACAAAAUAUAUAAUCAGUGUUCGACAUGUAAUAUACAGGACUCACUAAUGUCUUCCCCGGAAAAACAGAUAUUGCUCAUACAUAGGUCACUAGAAACUAACUUUUAUCUGGUGAAAACAGUAUCAGCCUGCAUUUGGUGGAACAUAUGGAAGGAGAGAAAUGAAAGGAUUUUCGGAGGCUGAUCAAAUGGAAUUGUAUUAUCUCUCUAUGUUUUUGGUGCAAAGAACAAUGUAAUCACACAGUUUUGGAGGUGGCCAGCAUAUCCUUAAUGCUGAGGAAACAUUAAUUACAAAACUCCUAAGAAGUCCACUAUUUCUACUCCGCAGCAUUAAGGGAUUGUAAACUGUAUUUUUAGCGCCUAUGUGCUUAUUUUUCACUAUUUAACUUGUAUAAUAGAGAUGGUUGUUCAAGAUCAUAGAUAUGACAGCAGAUAUCAUAUCCUCACAAGAUCUUGAAGUCUACAACUUUAAAAAUAGAUUUUUCACAUAAUCACAUGGAAAUAGCAUUGGAGAUCUCAAGAAAUCUUAGUUAUGCUACGCAUUGUGGAGGA
rnacentral:lncRNA from 1 species